UACGUAGGGCGCAAGCGUUGUCCGGAAUUAUUGGGCGUAAAGAGCUCGUAGGCGGUCUGUCGCGUCCGUUGUGAAAACUCGAGGCUCAACCUCGGGCUUGCAGUGGAUACGGGCAGACUAGAGUGCGGUAGGGGAGAGCUGGAAUUCCUGGUGUAGCGGGUGGAAUGCGCAGAUAUCAGGAGGAACACCGGUGGCGAAGGCGGGUCUCUGGGCCGAUGACUGACGCUGGAGGAGCGAAAGCGUGGGGAGCGAACAGG
rnacentral:rRNA from 1 species